GCAAUCUCAUGGGGGGGAAUCUUGGAUGGGACUCG
rnacentral:misc_RNA from 1 species